rnacentral:rRNA from 1 species
GAGACCCACGCCAACAGUUGCCAGCACGUUCUCCGGAAUGGUGGGGACACUGUUGGGACCGCCUCUGCUAAAGAGGAGGAAGGAAUGGGCAACGGUAGGUCAGCAUGCCCCGAAUUACCCGGGCUACACGCGGGCUACAAUGGACAGGACGAUGGGAAUCGACACCGAGAGGUGAAGGCAAUCCCCUAAACCUGCCCUUAGUUCGGAUUGUGGGCUGCAACUCGCCCACAUGAAGCUGGAAUCCGUAGUAAUCGCGGAUCAACAUUCCGCGGUGAAUAU